rnacentral:rRNA from 1 species
AGGGUUUGAUCAUGGCUCAGGAUGAACGCUGGCGGCGUGCUUAACACAUGCAAGUCAAGGGGGCCCAGCAAUGGGCAACCGGCGAACGGGUGCGUAACACGUGAGCAACCUACCGAAUUGUGGGGGAUAGCCGGCCCAACGGCCGGGUAAUACCGCAUACGAUCGAGACGAGGCAUUUCGACUCGAUGAAAUCUACGGAGCAAUUCGAGGGGCUCGCGGCCUAUCAGCUAGUUGGCGAGGUAACGGCUCACCAAGGCGACGACGGGUAGCUGGUCUGAGAGGAUGGCCAGCCACAUUGGGACUGAGAUACGGCCCAGACUCCUACGGGAGGCAGCAGUGGGGAAUCUUGCGCAAUGGCCUAACGGCUGACGCAGCGACGCCGCGUGAGGGAUGACGCUCUUCGGAGUGUAAACCUCUUUUGCCCGGGACGAAUUGCCAACAUUCGUUGGCUUGACGGUACCGGGUGAAUAAGCACCGGCUAACUCCGUGCCAGCAGCCGCGGUAAUACGGGGGGUGCGAGCGUUGUCCGGAAUCACUGGGCGUAAAGGGCGCGUAGGUGGUCUGAUAAGGGUGUGGUGAAAGCCCGGGGCUCAACCCCGGGUCGGCCGUGCCGACUGUUGGACUAGAGUGCUGUAGGGGCAGGCGGAAUUCCGGGUGUAGCGGUGGAAUGCGUAGAGAUCCGGAGGAAGACCGGUGGCGAAGGCGGCCUGCUGGGCAGUUACUGACACUGAGGCGCGACAGCGUGGGGAGCAAACAGGAUUAGAUACCCUGGUAGUCCACGCCGUAAAC